ACAAACAUCAUAUAAGAGCCCUCAUUUUUUACUAAUCAUCCAGCAUCUGUUUACAAAUAAUAUUAUUAAAGAACAGGAUCAAAUGAAUUAAAUAAGUAAAUGAAACUAUACUAUAGGGAGCCUAAAUCAGGCCCAAAGUAAACCUGAGAAUGCCAGGCCUUCAAUAGAAUCUCAGAAGCCAAAGAUUUCACAGCCAAUAAUAUAUGUCUAGCUGUAUCAGAGUUCCCUAAGGAUUUCAAGGAUCCCGAUCAGUGCUUAUAUCAAGACCUCUCAUAAAAUAGGGAUUGGUUAUGUGCAGUGUGGAAAGGCCAGCCCUGGUAUGCCAGAGUUUAGAGAGAUCUCAAGGAUCCCUAAGCAGUACACAUACCAGAGGGGCUGAACUUAAUAGUCUACGAGUAGGGUGAGAGUGCUUGAUAUAACGUUGAAAGACUUAGUAAACCAGUUAGAAGUGAAAAUAUUCAGAAAUAAUUUUGAAGACACUGGGGGUGACCAAAUUUAAGAAGAAUGCUAGGAGUAGAAGCAACGGUUUUGAAAUCAUUCUUUGAGGAAACUCAGCAAACAAACCAAUUAAUCAUUGAAUACCCAAAUUUACUUGACAAGCAGACUUACAAAUAAAGGGUGAAGGGACUGGGAACAUAUAGGGUUAAAAUCACAUAAAUAGGAAAACAUAUGAUACAACAAAUGUACAGAAUAACUAGGAGUCUACUGAACAAAUCAGUCAUGAUAACAGAUAGCUAAAAUAUAGGGAAAGAAUGCAAUAGGAUCAGGUUAAAGAUAAGAGUUUGUUGAACAAAAUUUGGAAUGCAAUUAGGGCCAAUAGAAUGCACUAACAUUGUCAUACAAAUUAAAGGGAGGGGUAAGGGAAGUAAGUAAACAUACUGGACAAUUAUCAAAGGACUAAAUGAAGUCGGUCAUGCUGAUACACAUAAGGCAAAAUUUGGACAUGCUUAAUAACAACAAAUAGAGAAACAAAUUGAAUAACUAAUACAGGAACAAACAUAGAUGUAUAUGCAUAAAACACAUAAAGUUGAGUUUCAGAAUCUAACUGGAGACAUACCAGUUAAAGAAGGGAAAUGCAGAAUAUGAAAAAUAGGUACAACUCCACUAUCUAGACUUGGCUUUCAGCCGGCUAGACCAACAGUCAUCACAAGUAGCAAAGAAAGAAGAGAGAGUUUGGAUGCAUUUGUGUGUAUUCGAUAUAGUGUGUUCGUGUCUUGAAUGGACCAUACUGAUAGUGCUCAUAUAGCAAUUCAAGAGUAGAGCCAAAAUAAGGUAAAGGAAUCAGUAUUCAGUCAAAUAAGGAAAUCAUAGGAUUGCAGAAUCCAAUCACAUAAAGGAGUUCAGAGUAGACUCCUUAAUUAGGGAUAAUUGAUCAAACUGUAAUAAUAUGGGUCUAACUAAGGAAAGAAUCCUAAUCAUACCAUAUAAAGGAAUCAGUAAGAAUCCAUGAACCAUACGGAUAGUUUACUAAGGCAUGGCAGGUAAAUAUUGAGAAUAAGGUAAAGAAGUAACCAAAUAAUCAAUCAAUGCUUCAGUGGGAUAGGAAAUUAGGGAAUUAUGCCAUAGAUAACUCCAAUUGAAUCUCAAAUAAGGCAAGAAGUAGGUUUAACAUUCAGUUAGGAUUAGAGCCCAUAAAUCAAGCAACCAAUCACACCAAUAAGGCAACCGUAGAUAAUUAAAGACCAAUCAGAGGUCAGUUAAUCCAUAAAUAGGCAAGAGAUGUAAAUUAAGAACCUCAUGAUUAAGGGAAACAAAUAAAAAUCAUUAAAUCACUUUAGUAAAUAAAUGAAGCCCUAUAGAAUUAGGCUAAUCGAUUUAAUUAUUCCAAAAAUAACGACAAAUAAGUUGAAAUCAAACAAUGAAUAGUCAGUCAAUUUAAAAACACUUAAGGUUGAUUGUAAGUAUAGAAAUCAAAGGACCCUUAAAGAAAACAACUAUGGAAACCUGAAACACUUCAAAAUAGGCAGGGAUUCGGACAACAAAUAAUAAAGAAACCAGAAACCCUAGAAUAACAUAGUGUUGAAAUCGAUUAAUAGUAAGGACGUAAGAGAACCUUAAAGAAAAUAAGUGACAAACUCCGAAUUGCUCCAGAUUUACAAAGAUCUGAACCGAUUCAAGUCCAAACAUUGGGUUUUUGAAGAAAAAAGGAAAGGGUAAAGGGAAAUCUGGUCUUGAACCAGAGAUUUGAACCGUAAAACAUUGAUAGAAAAGCACUCAUAGACUAUCCACGGACUCUUAGAGGGUCUUAAAUAAGAUGUGGACUAGAUCUCUUCGAGAUCUUUCCAUGAAAUUACAGAAAUGAGCGACCAUGAGAUGUAGGAGACAAGCAGGGGUCUCAAACACCCAUAGAAACCCAUGGAUCGAGUGAGGAUCAGAGGGAUUAGGGCUGGUUUUGGGUGGUGAUGGCUAGGGUUAGACCUGGUCUUAGAGAGAGUUUGAGAGACGAGGGAACGAAGGGCAGAG
rnacentral:lncRNA from 1 species